AUGCCACCAUCAGCAUUGAGCAGAACAGUGUGGGUGCUUGUGCAGCAUAGCGUUUGGGCUUUGGCAGUUGGCUUCUUUUGGCAUCCAGCCUUAUCUCCACAUCACAGGCGAUUGACACACGGGCAGCUUGCUUCCAUCACCACUGUCACCCGGUGCCCGUACCAAGUGUUUUUGACCAGUCAAGGCAAGCAUCGUGUGCUACCACUGCAGUGUACUACAACAACUCCUGCUGCACAAGCACAAGCACGAGGCAAGAACCAGCGGCCACUUGGGAUAGAUAAAAUUCCAACAGCGUCAGCCAAUGGCAGAAAUCACAUAUUUGACCUGAAGGCAAAAUCAAAUCACAAACUGACCUGCUCACGAAAUUUUUUCACAAUGAUGACCCUUUCGUGUGGCGCCCGACAGUGA
rnacentral:rRNA from 1 species